UCGAGAAUUUUGGGCAAUGGACGAAAGUCUGACCCAGCAAUGCCGCGUGCGGGAUGAAGGUCUUCGGAUUGUAAACCGCUGUCGAGGGGGACGAAAAUUGACGGUACCCCUAGAGGAAGCCACGGCUAACUACGUGCCAGCAGCCGCGGUAAUACGUAGGUGGCGAGCGUUGUUCGGAUUUAUUGGGCGUAAAGGGUCCGCAGGGGGUCGAUUAAGUCUGACGUGAAAUCUCUGAGCUCAACUCAGAAAUUGCGUUGGAGACUGGUUGACUAGAGUGUUGGAGAGGUAAUUGGAAUUCCAGGUGUAGCGGUGGAAUGCGUAGAUAUCUGGAAGAACAUCGAAAGCGAAGGCAGAUUACUGGACAGCAACUGACCCUCAGGGACGAAAGCAUGGGGAGCAA
rnacentral:rRNA from 1 species